UAGAGUUUGAUCCUGGCUCAGGACGAACGCUGGCGGCGUGCUUAACACAUGCAAGUCAAGGAGAAAGUCAUCUUCGGAUGGCAAGUAAACUGGCGAACGGGUGAGUAACACGUAGGUAAUCUGCCCCAGAGAUUGGGAUAACUCGGCGAAAGCCGGACUAAUACCGAAUAAUGCAACGAAUCCUUCGGGAUAUGUUGUUAAAGCGGGCUUCGGCUCGUACUUUGGGAUGAGCCUGCGUCCGAUUAGUUAGUUGGUAGGGUAAUGGCCUACCAAGACGAUGAUCGGUAGCUGGUCUGAGAGGAUGAUCAGCCACACUGGGAUUGAGAUACGGCCCAGACUCCUACGGGAGGCAGCAGUGGGGAAUUUUGCGCAAUGGACGAAAGUCUGAAGGAGCGAUGCCGCGUGACCGAUGAAGUUCUUAGGGAUGUAAAGGUCUUUUCUCAAGGAAGAAACUAUGACGGUACUUGAGGAAUAAGGGGUUGCUAACUCUGUGCCAGCAGCAGCGGUAAUACAGAGACCCCGAGCGUUAUCCGGAUUUAUUGGGCGUAAAGCGUGCGCAGACGGUUUUUUAAGUCUGUGGUUAAAUCCUGGUGCUUAACACCAGAAUCGCCAUGGAAACUGAUAAACUAGAGGUUGGAAGAGGUCAGCGGAAUUGCCGGUGUAACGGUCAAAUGUGUUAAUAUCGGCAAGAACACCAGAUGCGAAAGCGGCUGGCUAGUACACACCUGACGUUGUUGCACGAAAGCGUGGGUAGCGAAUGGGAUUAGAUACCCCAGUAGUCCACGCCGUAAACGAUGAGUACUAGUCAUUGGCAGUAUCGACCCUGUCAGUGGCGUUUAAAAUAGCUAACGCGUUAAGUACUCCGCCUGGGAAGUACGGUCGCAAGACUAAAACUCAAAGGAAUUGACGGGGACCCGCACAAGCGGUGGAGCAUGUGGUUUAAUUCGACGAUACGCGAAGAACCUUACCUGGCCUUGACAUAGAAAGAAUUUAGCAGAGAUGUAAAAGUGCUAGUUUACUAGAGCUUUCAUACAGGUGCUGCACGGCUGUCGUCAGCUCGUGUCGUGAGAUGUUAGGUUAAGUCCUGCAACGAGCGCAACCCUCGUGUUUAGUUACUAACAGUUCGGCUGAGGACUCUAGACAUACUGCCUGGGCAACCAGGAGGAAGGUGAGGACGACGUCAAGUCAUCAUGGCCCUUACGGCCAGGGCUACACACGUGCUACAAUGGGGUAUACAAAGAGCCGCAAUACCGCGAGGUGGAGCAAAUCUCAUAAAAUAUCUCCCAGUUCGGAUUACACUCUGCAACUCGAGUGUAUGAAGUUGGAAUCGCUAGUAAUCGUAGAUCAGCAAUGCUACGGUGAAUACNUUCCCGGGUCUUGUACUCACCGCCCGUCACACCAUGGGAGUUGAAUUCAUUCGAAGCGGGGAUGCUAAAAUAGCUACCUUCCACAGUGGAUUUAGUAAUUAGGGUGAAGUCGUAACAAGGUAACCA
rnacentral:rRNA from 1 species